rnacentral:rRNA from 1 species
UACGGAGGGUGCAAGCGUUAUUCGGAAUCAUUGGGUGUAAAGCGCGUGUAGGCGGCUUGGAAAGUCAGAUGUGAAAGCUUCGGGCUUAACCCGGAAAGUGCAUUUGAAACUCCCUAGCUUGAGUCCCGGAGAGGAAGGUGGAAUUCCCAGUGUAGAGGUGAAAUUCGUAGAUAUUGGGAGGAACACCGGUGGCGAAGGCGACCUUCUGGACGGUGACUGACGCUGAGACGCGAAAGCGUGGGUAGCAAACAGGAUUAGAUACCCUGGUAGUCCACGCCGUAAACGAUGAGAACUAGGUGUAGGGGGUAUUGACCCCCCCUGUGCCGUAGCUAACGCAUUAAGUUCUCCACCUGGGGAGUACGGCCGCAAGGCUAAA